rnacentral:tRNA from 1 species
GGGGGUGCAGCUCAAUAGAGCACUUGCCUAGCAUGUGCAAAGCCAUGGGUUCAACCCCCGGCACCCCCA